UAGCCGUAAACGAUACUCGCUAGGUGUCGGCCACGGUGCGACCGUUGUCGGUGCCGUAGGGAAGCCGUGAAGCGAGCCACCUGGGAAGUACGGCCGCAAGGCUGAAACUUAAAGGAAUUGGCGGGGGAGCACCACAACGGGUGGAGCUUGCGGUUUAAUUUGGAUUCAACGCCGGAAAUCUUACCGGGACCGACAGCAACAUGAAGGCCAGGCUGAAGACUUUGCCGGAUUAGCUGAGAGGAGGUGCAUGGCGUAGUCG
rnacentral:rRNA from 1 species